rnacentral:rRNA from 1 species
AUUGAACGCUGGCGGCAGGCCUAACACAUGCAAGUCGAACGAGUGGCGGACGGGUGAGUAAUGUCUGGGAAACUGCCUGAUGGAGGGGGAUAACUACUGGAAACGGUAGCUAAUACCGCAUACCAUCGGAUGUGCCCAGAUGGGAUUAGCUAGUAGGUGGGGUAAAGGCUCACCUAGGCGACGAUCCCUAGCUGGUCUGAGAGGAUGACCCGGCACAAUGGGAAUGGGGAACGGUCCAGAAUCCUACGGGAGGCAGCAGUUGGGAAUAUUGCACAAUGGGGGCAAACCUGAUGCAGCCAUGCCGCGUGUAUGAAGAAGGCCGUCGGGUUGUAAAGUACUUUCAGCGGGGAGGCGUUACCCGCAGAAGAAGCACCGGCUAACUCCGUGCCAGCAGCCGCGGUAAUACC